rnacentral:ncRNA from 1 species
GAUAACUGGUUUGUGGUGGCCAAGCGUUCAUAGCGUUCAUCGCUUUUUGGUCCUUCGAUUUCGGCUCUUCUUAUCACUGCAAAGCAGGGUUCGCCAAGUGUUGGAUUGUUCCCCCACUAAUAGCAAACGGAGGUUUGGACCGUCAUGAGACAGGUU